GAAAAACAUAGGUCUCUGAUAUAGGCUGAGCACAUAAACGGGUACACUAACAAUACUAUGUGGCAUCCCUCUGUAUGCAUUGGAUAUACUGUGUCUGGCAUUGUAGGAGAACAUGUAUAGGCUAAGCAAUAAAGUAGAAAGGAACUUGCCUUAUACCAUAUUUAGAACCCUACCUGCACCUUUGAAUCAUUUUAAGACCCAAAAGGUUUGUAAGUCACUACAAAAUAAAUGUUUAACUUUAUUUUUUUUUUAAGGGCACUCAAUGUACCAUAACUACUACUGCUCACUGUAGUGGUUAUGGUAUUAGAAGUGUCCCCGCAGCUUCUCAAUAGUUAGACUUCUUUCCUAGACACUGCCGGCUGCCUCUCCCCACCUCCAC